CCACUCAACAAGACUCAGCAGUCGGCUUCCCUGCGACUUUGAUCCAAUGGAAAUCUCAUAAACUCUGCCCCUUGGCAAUGAAGUUCAGCAUUCCCCUUCAUCAUCUUGCUACAACCUGACAGUCUCAGAAGCAACCUAGCGACAAAAGGACAAACUCCCUGACUGAAUUUCUGAGCCACAGUGUGACCCAUCUCACAGCUCCUCUGCGGCAAAGAUUGUUCGGAGACACCUGGAUUCCCCCGUAAGGAUUCAGACAUCAUUCUGGCCUGCACCUGUCGCCUGGCAGAAUGCACUCAGUACAGGGGUCUUCGAGAACAUCAGCAAUGGCAGGCCCACAAGAUGUGAGGAGCCUGGGGCCCAAAUCACCACGUGGAAGAAAGCCAAUGGCUUCCCUGGAAAGUCAUAGUAACACGGACAGACCAGCUAACUGCCAGUGGAUGAAUGACCACUGAAACGUUGGGGGUGGAUUCUUAAACCAGCUAAUACUUCUCUGAUAAUGUUGAAAUUGAGAAGACUAUAAUCAAUCAGGUCCAUAUUUUCUAGAAACAUUUAAUGUACUCUGACAUUUGUUUCUGGCUUUGUGCCUUUUGUAUCAGUCAAUAGUUCUACACCUAUGGUUCUACACCGUGGUUCCUGACUCCUUUGGGGGUCGCACAUCAGAUAUCAGACAUUUAUAUUACGAUUCAUAACAGUAGCAAGAUUACAGUUCUGAAGUAGUAACUAAAAUAAUGUUACGGUUGGGGUCACCACAGGUCCAGAACCACUGCUCUAAGCCAACCCUUCCCCUACAACUUCAUUCAGAGUGUUUCCCAAAGCACGCUUAGCAGAGCUGGCAAGCUGAGAAGGGUCGCAGACGUAGGGGAGUGGGGGGAGGGGAAAGGAUAUCUGCAUAUUAUACUAUUGUAAAUAUAUUAAUAAUUCUCUACCACUUCCAAAGUCUCCCCACCAAUCACAUAGUUUUGUGUCUGUUAUCAGACAUUUUUUAUCCUGGAGUUCUAGAACUGUCACGUACAUCUAGCAGAGAUGUACGUAAGUGGGGGCAGCUGUUCUCGAAAAGCUGGUUUCUGUGUGCUGACAACUGCCAAGUCCUGCAUGUGGAAAACCAGGAAGCCCAUGUCGAGACCUGAUGCCACACCAGGAAGACCAGUGCCUGCCAGGGGUCAUUUUAAGGGGCUCUUCUCCAGGUCCUCCCUUCCUCCCCCUUCUUCCUCUCUCUCCCUAGCGUCAUCCCCACCUCCCUCUCUCGGGGAUCUUCCAGCCCUCUCUCAAGUUUGGGGUCUUCACUUCUAUGCUUUGCUCAUUUUUUUUUCUUACUUGAAGCAUCAAGAUUCCCCACUGUGUCCCAUAACCCAUAAUCACCACAAUCCACGUGAUCUUCCUCUGCACCUACUGUCCUUAAAAUAGAGCACACUAGAGCCAGGAGGUUGUCCUAGUAGACAUUCAAAUCAUGGCUGUUUUCUGCCUUUUAAGAGUCUGAAACACCUGCCACAGCCUAAGCAUUCCACACAUCUGUAUCAAAUUGAACCAAGGGUACUGGAAACACAUUAGAAACACCGCAUUUACCGGAAGGAGGCACAUGUUAGUUUGAAAACAACUGGUUGUGAUGGCGACUGGCAUCCUUACCUCUCAAUGAGUUUAAAUAGAGUCGGACAUGGUGGUCCAAACCUGUACUCUCUCAGUACUUGGGAUGCAGACACUGGGUUGAAUCUAGUUUGAGGCCAGCCUGGGCUGCUUAGUACAUUCUGGGUCAAUAUGGGCUACAAAGCAAGAACCUGUCUCAAACAAACAAAUAAACAAAAACCAAACUGAAACCAAA